AACCAUUCUCACCUGCGGCUAGACCUGCGGAAGGAUCAUUACCGAGUUAGGGUAGUCGCACUGCCCGACCUCCCAACCCUGUGUCUACCAUACCUUGUCGUUGCUUCGGCGGACCGGUUGACCAACUGGUCAUGACCGCCGGGGGCUGGCUCUGUCCCCCCUGGAGAGCGUCCGCCGAUGGCCCAACCACAAAACUCUUGUACCGAAACGUGUCGUCUGAAUUAUGUUUGAGAAAUCAAA
rnacentral:misc_RNA from 1 species